GCAGGCGCGGGAGGUGCGACGGGGGGGCGGUUGGGGUUCAGCGCCUCGUGCCGUGCUGGUUUCUGGGUGGCCCUUAAUGUCUUGUGCUCUAAGGUGCUGAGGGGAAAGACGCGGGAGGUCUCUGGCCUGACACUAUGAAGGAAGAGAGAAACUACAACUUCGACGGUGUGAGCACCAACCGCCUGAAACAGCAGUUGCUGGAAGAAAUCCGCAAGAAGGAUGCAGUGCAACUCUCAAUAUUUGAACUAAGACACAAGAUUACGGAACUGGAAGCCAAACUCAAUACUGACAAUGAAGGUAGUGAAUGGAAAACCCGUUAUGAGACACAACUUGAAUUAAAUGAUCAACUAGGAAAGCAAAUUGUUUAUCUCAAGAAGAUGGUGGAAAAAAUCCGUGGAAACUCUUCAGAAAGUAUGAGGUUUGCAGUCCAGGGGUGGUGCAGUGGCUGUAUAAUGCCUUCAGGAAUCCAGGCUUCCCCUAAAUUUCUACUCUGCCAUCCAUCUGAAUCCUUAAACACAUUACUUAAACAGCUAGAAAAAGAAAAGAGGACUCUUGAAAGUCAAGUGAAAUACUAUGCACUUAAACUGGAACAAGAAUCAAAGGCUUACCAGAAGAUCAACAAUGAACGCUGUACAUACCUAGCUGAAAUGUCUCAGGGUUCUGGUUUACAUCAAGUUUCUAAAAGGCAACAGAUGGAUCAACUGCCUAGGAUGCAAGAGAAUCUAGUGAAAACGGAAUUUAUAGCUAAGGAAUACAAAGCAAAAUCAACAAAGGCAUAAGGCACAUGGGAUGAAUUCUCAGAAAACUAGGCUCAAGCUUCCGAAAGUUUUCUCCAAAUUAAGGUCACAUAAGAAAUACUUAAUUCCUCCAGCAAAAAAUUGCAACAACAGUUUUAAAGUGACUAAAAGCCCUAAAGGAAGAAAAUAACCAAGGAGCCAUUGGUACCCUGGAGCAAAAGAACCUGAGGGAAAUUGAUACUAGGACUUGAUAGUUUUUGUAACUGUCACCUGGGUCCGGAACAUAUAACUUAUUUGUCCACUUUAAUAAGUGAAAUCAUUGGACUUCAGAUUUAUAGAAAUCACCUAGAGAUCUAAGCUAUUGUGGGGACUGUUGAGGAACAUUUAAAGUUAUCUCAAUCACUGGGAUAAAAUAUCAGUUGAACAUCUUAUCACAGGAACUCUAUUACAUUUAAGUGUUGGUUCUGCAGGAGCUACUUUGGGAUACUUUUCAGAUACCAUAAAAUGUCUGUAUUAAACAGAAUGAUGGAAUGUUGAGAGAGUAUAAAGAACUGAAAUGAGGGACUCCAAGAUCUGUAUUCUAAUGCCAGUUUUGCCACUUAUAAGCUUCUGACUUUGCCUCCUCUUAAAAGAAGAAUUGGACCCUUUAGAGGUCGGCUGCUUGGAGACAUUGGGUUUCAGUGCUGCAGGUGCGGCUGGACCAGAGAAUAGGACAUGCCUCGGACAAAAAGCACUCUGGCCC